CUGCGCAUGCCACAGCUGUCGAAACGAAGAUGACGAUGAGGAAGUCAGUCAGACGUCUGGGAGUCGAGGGCAGCAGCCGACAGAACCUGCAACAGUCAGUUGAGUGGAAAGCAUUUGACAAAAUCUUCAUCAGACGUGCUGCUGGUCAGGGCAGACAACUGUUACCCAUGUCUGCUCCUCCGCCGUCUGCUUCACAGGGACCCGCCUCAACACAGGCCCAGACAUUCUGGCUCCAGUGGGUGGAGGCCGCGUACCCUGAACUUCACUCAGGCGCCUACUUCCUGCCUCCUGUCGACUUCAACCGCGUGCCGAUGACCACAGAGAUCAUUGAUCCUCUAAAUAUUCGUUUCCUUGUCCUACAACUUGCCCCGACAUCAACUGGUCCACCCAUCGCUGGUCUGCCUGGUGUUCCUCAGCCUCCUCUUGUGCAGGACAGUGACAUCAGAGAUGAUGCAGCCAUGCAGCGGGUGUUCGUCUGUCUGCAGAAAAUGUCUGAAGAGCAAAGAGAAAUCAUGUUUGGACUGAGUCAACUUCUGUUCGGACAGUACCUGGGUGAACCUUGUUAUGCUGCAGCGGCUGCCCAGCUCCCCAUACCCGCCAGCCUUCCUCCUGCUCUGCCACGGAACUGGAAACAUGGAGACUUUGAUGUGCUUCUUAUUCACCGCCGCUACGGUCUUGUCGUCUGUGAGGUGAAGUCUGUUGAUGACAUCCUAACAAAGGUCAACAUUUCACAGCACAAAAUAGACGACACCAUCAGAAAAAAACUCACCCAGGCCGUGUCACAGCUGGACAAGGCGGAGGCCAUGUUGUCUCACCUGGUGUCCGACAUCGCUCCCGGUCUGCGCAUCACUAAGACCAUCGCUUUCCCCAACCUCACGACUGAUCAGGUGCAACAGGCCAUCUCCGGUGACCCACACCUGGUCAAGGACCUGUGUCGAUGUCUAGGAACAUCAGACCCCGCUGACAUCCCUGGUCUGUGUCUGUGCUGUGAUCAGUUGUCUGACCCCAAGACCCCGUGUGACGUCAGUAGUCACGUGCUGAGGGAACUGGGACACUGGUGGCAGCGACGUGUGGCUGGGGCUGGACCUGACAGUCACAUGACACGUAGAGUGUACAAGACACUGGUAGCAAGGUGAGUAGUCGAAGUGUAGCGAGAUAUGAUAAUACAGCCACGUGUGCCUGGGGCUGGGCCUGCCAGUCACGUGACCUGUGACGUGCACAAAACUCUGGUAGCCAGGUUCUGUGGUCCGGCGACAACAGUGACUGUGCCAUGUACAUCUCCCCCUCGCCUGAGUGUCAAGACCCUGAGCCACGUGGUGUCGUUGACAGGAGAGUGCUACACUGCUCAAAUAGCUCUCUUCCCGGAGCAAGUUCACCUGCUCAACACCAUGCCUCCCAUGGUGUAUCUGUCAGGACCGCCAGGUACAGGUAAAACUGUGGUGCUGCUGCUGGUGGCCAUGGAAUGGCUGCGAUGUGGCCACCACGUCUACGUUGUCAGCGUCUGGUCGGAAAGUCACGUGGCGUGCAUCAUGCUGUACCACCUGCUGCUGCAGACUAUCAACACACAGCAAACAGCAGGGGUCACAGGGGUCACAGCUGGCCACCUUCACCUCCUGCAGUAUGAGUUUAAAGCUACGGGAGGCAAAGACGUGGACAAGGCUGUCAAUGAAUUGUCGCAGGCGGCCAAUGGACGGCCGCUGUAUGUCAUCGCUGAUGAAAUGUCAACUGACAACUUCCAUUUCUUCUUUUACAAACUACUAAUGCAAGUUCCUCGUCUCUAUAUCUGGGCGGCAAACUGUGAUAACAUCAUGCUACCCGGUGACUGGUCGUGGAAUUCCUCACCAGACCCCUCCGUUGCCCGCCGGUAGUCGUGCGGGAAGUGGAGAAGGACAAGAAAAAGGUUGAAUUCAUGUUUUUCAAAACCUACACUCCACGUGGCAUACCUGACCACACAGACGGCCCGCCAGUCAAGGUGUUGUACCAUCGAAGCUUUCAAGAUGACCACUCGCCCACCCACCCAGCUGACUGUGUCAGGUGUGGUCGUGAGGUGGCCAGCUUCCUACGCCGACUAGGUGUUGGUCUUCCGGGGACUGUCACAGCUACGACAACCGCAACACCGCCGUGCCUGCAGUGGCGAGACGUGAUGGUGGUGUACCGCAGCGAGCAGACGACUGACCCCGCCAUCGUCACGGGGCUGAGGGCAGGCGGUGUCGCAGCUCGCGCCAUGACAGAUGACGACAUCGAGGACGUGGCCACGGCUCGCAGUGACGUGGUGUGGGUGGGGCAAUGCUAUCGUCUGCGGGGGCUGGAGAGGAAAGUCGUCGUCUGCGAGGAUCUCGGCGAUGCUCAAAUAUUGCGAGCCAUGUCACAGUGCACGUCACAACUUGUCGUUAUCAAGCUGUUCAGCUCCCACGGACAUUAACACCUACACCUGUCACCUCUGGUUGUUGGGCUCCGUUCUCUGAACCUACCUUGGUUUAUUUGUUGUUGUUUUUUUCUAUUAUCAUCUAGAGAGAUUUUGUUGUACUAUUUAUAAAACAAAAGCAUACAAAUAUUUAAAUAUUUAUGAUGGAUAGAGAGAAUUCCAGUGUCGGGCAGGACAUAUAAAGUCACUGCCUGUCAAUGAGAGUAAAAUUGGUUUGAUAUCCGAUGUUUCCUUUAAAGUCGCAGUUUCCAAGAACCUAUCGCCGACGUUGAGUGACGACUUGACGACCACUUUCAUCGCCUCAUGUUGCUCGGUCCUUCUCUACACGAGGGGCAGGACUUGUCAGGGCUGCAAAAGCAAUAUUUUUAUUAUCCUUUAACAGCUCACUGCAGACUGUCUGGCAAAUUCUGAAAUUGUUAUACAGAUUUGUUUGUGCUUAAAGUUUUGUCAUUUUUUUAAUUUGCGUGUUGCGAGGUACAGGUGGCGCUGUACAGCAGGGGUCAGACCGGGGGGAGCGUUGUGCAGGCUGACAAUGACAAGUAUAGCCUUAUAACAUCGCACACUGUGGGACACAUUGGUUCAUUCCAACAAAGCUUCGGUUACAAAGAGCAAAAGUAAGGGAGACAAGCAGGUGACUAGAUGAUAGGAAGGGGAGGUAACACCGACUUCCACAGUUCUGUGUCUUGCUGUGUAUGGAGGAGACUGGAGAUCAGGUUUUGUCUACACAUUAGGUCUGUCUGUUAAAACACAGAAUACCUACAGACACCUACGUGUUCACUUGAUGUCACGUGACCACAUUUCAUCAAAGGUUUGUAUCCUGUAGCUGAUAAUAGUUUCUAUUUUUAGAUAGUAGCGGGACUGGUCUGCUUGACACUGUGACCGGACUACGAGGCACCAAGGGUUCUGUAACCAGUCCCCCGUUCCUCUUUCUUGCUCCAGGGAGGAGGACAAAAGCUCCCAAGAAAAUGUUUAUGAAAAUUCUGGCUUUCACUUGGCGAGUGAGCUCUUUGAUCAAUCACCUCGUGUUG
rnacentral:misc_RNA from 1 species